rnacentral:lncRNA from 1 species
UUUUUUGUUGAAGUUUAUUUGUUCACAUGUACGUUAAAAUGAAAAUUUUUUGUUCAUGUAAUUUAAGUAUGCAGUGAGUAAUAUUUGACGCACAAAUUCAUUUUAAUUUACAUUAGCAGAAAAGUACAUUUUUUUUUGUUUUUCUGUUGUAUGUAAUAAAAUCCAAAUUUGCUUUGCCUCGACAAAAUAUCAGAGCAAGUUAUUAUUAUUU